UUAAGUUAUUAAGGGCGCACGGUGGAUGCCUUGGCACUAGAAGCCGAUGAAGGACGUUACUAACGACGAUAUGCUUUGGGGAGCUGUAAGUAAGCUUUGAUCCAGAGAUUUCCGAAUGGGGAAACCCAGCAUGAGUUAUGUCAUGUUAUCGAUAUGUGAAUACAUAGCAUAUCAGAAGGCACACCCGGAGAACUGAAACAUCUUAGUACCCGGAGGAAGAGAAAGAAAAUUCGAUUCCCUUAGUAGCGGCGAGCGAAACGGGAAGAGCCCAAACCAACAAGCUUGCUUGUUGGGGUUGUAGGACACUCUAUACGGAGUUACAAAGGACGACAUUAGACGAAUCAUCUGGAAAGAUGAAUCAAAGAAGGUAAUAAUCCUGUAGUCGAAAAUGUUGUCUCUCUUGAGUGGAUCCUGAGUACGACGGAGCACGUGAAAUUCCGUCGGAAUCUGGGAGGACCAUCUCCUAAGGCUAAAUACUCUCUAGUGACCGAUAGUGAACCAGUACCGUGAGGGAAAGGUGAAAAGCACCCCGGAAGGGGAGUGAAAUAGAACCUGAAACCGUGUGCUUACAAGUAGUCAGAGCCCGUUAAUGGGUGAUGGCGUGCCUUUUGUAGAAUGAACCGGCGAGUUACGAUUUGAUGCAAGGUUAAGCAGUAAAUGUGGAGCCGUAGCGAAAGCGAGUCUGAAUAGGGCGUUUAGUAUUUGGUCGUAGACCCGAAACCAGGUGAUCUACCCUUGGUCAGGUUGAAGUUCAGGUAACACUGAAUGGAGGACCGAACCGACUUACGUUGAAAAGUGAGCGGAUGAACUGAGGGUAGCGGAGAAAUUCCAAUCGAACCUGGAGAUAGCUGGUUCUCUCCGAAAUAGCUUUAGGGCUAGCCUCAAGUGAUGAUUAUUGGAGGUAGAGCACUGUUUGGACGAGGGGCCCCUCUCGGGUUACCGAAUUCAGACAAACUCCGAAUGCCAAUUAAUUUAACUUGGGAGUCAGAACAUGGGUGAUAAGGUCCGUGUUCGAAAGGGAAACAGCCCAGACCACCAGCUAAGGUCCCAAAAUAUAUGUUAAGUGGAAAAGGAUGUGGCGUUGCCCAGACAACUAGGAUGUUGGCUUAGAAGCAGCCAUCAUUUAAAGAGUGCGUAAUAGCUCACUAGUCGAGUGACACUGCGCCGAAAAUGUACCGGGGCUAAACAUAUUACCGAAGCUGUGGAUUGUCCUUUGGACAAUGGUAGGAGAGCGUUCUAAGGGCGUUGAAGCAUGAUCGUAAGGACAUGUGGAGCGCUUAGAAGUGAGAAUGCCGGUGUGAGUAGCGAAAGACGGGUGAGAAUCCCGUCCACCGAUUGACUAAGGUUUCCAGAGGAAGGCUCGUCCGCUCUGGGUUAGUCGGGUCCUAAGCUGAGGCCGACAGGCGUAGGCGAUGGAUAACAGGUUGAUAUUCCUGUACCACCUAUAAUCGUUUUAAUCGAUGGGGGGACGCAGUAGGAUAGGCGAAGCGUGCGAUUGGAUUGCACGUCUAAGCAGUAAGGCUGAGUAUUAGGCAAAUCCGGUACUCGUUAAGGCUGAGCUGUGAUGGGGAGAAGACAUUGAGUCUUCGAGUCGUUGAUUUCACACUGCCGAGAAAAGCCUCUAGAUAGAAAAUAGGUGCCCGUACCGCAAACCGACACAGGUAGUCAAGAUGAGAAUUCUAAGGUGAGCGAGCGAACUCUCGUUAAGGAACUCGGCAAAAUGACCCCGUAACUUCGGGAGAAGGGGUGCUCUUUAGGGUUAACGCCCAGAAGAGCCGCAGUGAAUAGGCCCAAGCGACUGUUUAUCAAAAACACAGGUCUCUGCUAAACCGUAAGGUGAUGUAUAGGGGCUGACGCCUGCCCGGUGCUGGAAGGUUAAGAGGAGUGGUUAGCUUCUGCGAAGCUACGAAUCGAAGCCCCAGUAAACGGCGGCCGUAACUAUAACGGUCCUAAGGUAGCGAAAUUCCUUGUCGGGUAAGUUCCGACCCGCACGAAAGGCGUAACGAUUUGGGCACUGUCUCAACGAGAGACUCGGUGAAAUCAUAGUACCUGUGAAGAUGCAGGUUACCCGCGACAGGACGGAAAGACCCCGUGGAGCUUUACUGUAGCCUGAUAUUGAAAUUCGGCACAGCUUGUACAGGAUAGGUAGGAGCCUUUGAAACGUGAGCGCUAGCUUACGUGGAGGCGCUGGUGGGAUACUACCCUAGCUGUGUUGGCUUUCUAACCCGCACCACUUAUCGUGGUGGGAGACAGUGUCAAGCGGGCAGUUUGACUGGGGCGGUCGCCUCCUAAAAGGUAACGGAGGCGCUCAAAGGUUCCCUCAGAAUGGUUGGAAAUCAUUCAUAGAGUGUAAAGGCAUAAGGGAGCUUGACUGCGAGACCUACAAGUCGAGCAGGGUCGAAAGACGGACUUAGUGAUCCGGUGGUUCCGCAUGGAAGGGCCAUCGCUCAACGGAUAAAAGCUACCCCGGGGAUAACAGGCUUAUCUCCCCCAAGAGUUCACAUCGACGGGGAGGUUUGGCACCUCGAUGUCGGCUCAUCGCAUCCUGGGGCUGUAGUCGGUCCCAAGGGUUGGGCUGUUCGCCCAUUAAAGCGGUACGCGAGCUGGGUUCAGAACGUCGUGAGACAGUUCGGUCCCUAUCCGUCGUGGGCGUAGGAAAUUUGAGAGGAGCUGUCCUUAGUACGAGAGGACCGGGAUGGACAUACCUCUGGUGUACCAGUUGUCGUGCCAACGGCAUAGCUGGGUAGCUAUGUGUGGACGGGAUAAGUGCUGAAAGCAUCUAAGCAUGAAGCCCCCCUCAAGAUGAGAUUUCCCAACUUCGGUUAUAAGAUCCCUCAAAGAUGAUGAGGUUAAUAGGUUCGAGGUGGAAGCAUGGUGACAUGUGGAGCUGACGAAUACUAAUCGAUCGAAGACUUAAUC
rnacentral:rRNA from 1 species